UACGAAGGGGGCUAGCGUUGUUCGGAAUCACUGGGCGUAAAGGGCGCGUAGGCGGCUUUGUAAGUCGGGGGUGAAAGCCUGUGGCUCAACCACAGAAUUGCCUUCGAUACUGCAUGGCUUGAGACCGGAAGAGGUUAGUGGAACUGCGUGUGUAGAGGUGAAAUUCGUAGAUAUUCGCAAGAACACCAGUGGCGAAGGCGGCUGACUGGUCCGGUUCUGACGCUGAGGCGCGAAAGCGUGGGGAGCAAACAGG
rnacentral:rRNA from 1 species